rnacentral:misc_RNA from 1 species
GAUGAAGAACGCAGCGAAAUGCGAUAAGUAAUGUGAAUUGCAGAAUUCAGUGAAUCAUCGAAUCUUUGAACGCACAUUGCGCCCCUUGGUAUUCCGAGGGGCAUGCCUGUUCGAGCGUCAUAUUAACCACUCCCGCUUGCGGGGUCUUGGGCUUCGCCUCCGGGCGGGCCUUAAAAUCAGUGGCGGUGCCGUCGGGCUCUACGCGUAGUAAAUUUUCUCGCGAUAGGGUCCCGGUGGAUGCUUGCCAACAACCCCCAACUUCUUAAGGUUGACCUCGGAUCAGGUAGGGAUACCCGCUGAACUUAAGCAUAUCAUAAGCGGAGGA